GGCCAGACUCCUACGGGAGGCAGCAGUGGGGGAUAUUGCACAAUGGGGGAAACCCUGAUGCAGCGACGCCGCGUGAUUGAAGAAGGCCUUCGGGUUGUAAAGAUCUUUAAUCAGGGACGAAAAAUGACGGUACCUGAAGAAUAAGCUCCGGCUAACUACGUGCCAGCAGCCGCGGUAAUACGUAGGGAGCAAGCGUUAUCCGGAUUUACUGGGUGUAAAGGGCGUGUAGGCGGGCUUGUAAGUCAGAAGUGAAAUCUGGGGGCUUAACCCCCAAACUGCUUUUGAAACUGCGGGUCUUGAGUGAUGGAGAGGCAGGCGGAAUUCCCAGUGUAGCGGUGAAAUGCGUAGAUAUUGGGAGGAACACCAGUGGCGAAGGCGGCCUGCUGGACAUUAACUGACGCUGAGGCGCGAAAGCGUGGGGAGCAAACAGGAUUAGAUACCCGUGUA
rnacentral:rRNA from 1 species